rnacentral:rRNA from 1 species
UUCCGGUUGAUCCUGCCGGAGGUCACUGCUAUCGGGGUUCGAUUAAGCCAUGCGAGUCGAGAGGGUUCAGACCCUCGGCGGACUGCUCAGUAACACGUGGAUAAUCUGCCCUAUGGUGGAGGAUAACCCCGGGAAACUGGGGAUAAUACUCCAUAAGUCAGGAGUACUGGAAUGUCUCCUAACUGAAAGUUUCGGCGCCAUAGGAUGAGUCUGCGGCCGAUUAGGUAGUUGUUGGGGUAACGGCCCAACAAGCCCGUAAUCGGUACGGGUUGUGGGAGCAAGAGCCCGGAGAUGGAAUCUGAGACACGAUUCCAGGCCCUACGGGGCGCAGCAGGCGCGAAAACUUUACAAUGCAGGAAACUGUGAUAAGGGAACCCCGAGUGCCCGUACACGCGGGCUGUCCCGGUGUUUAAAACACAUCGGAAGAAAGGGCCGGGCAAGACCGGUGCCAGCCGCCGCGGUAAUACCGGCGGCUCGAGUGGUGACCACUUUUAUUGGGCUUAAAGCGUUCGUAGCUUGAUUUUUAAGUCUCUUGGGAAAUCUCACGGCUUAACUGUGAGGCGUCUAAGAGAUACUGGGAAUCUAGGGACCGGGAGAGGUAAGAGGUACUUCAGGGGUAGAAGUGAAAUUCUGUAAUCCUUGAGGGACCACCGAUGGCGAAGGCAUCUUACCAGAACGGCUUCGACAGUGAGGAACGAAAGCUGAGGGAGCGAACGGGAUUAGAUACCCCGGUAGUCCCAGCCGUAAACUAUGCGCGUUAGGUGUGCCUGUAACUACGAGUUACCGGGGUGCCGAAGUGAAAACGUGAAACGUGCCGCCUGGGAAGUACGGUCGCAAGGCUGAAACUUAAAGGAAUUGGCGGGGGAGCACCACAACGGGUGGAGCCUGCGGUUUAAUUGGAUUCAACGCCGGG